ACAAGCAGCUACACAGCAAUAUACAGUUGAGUCGAGUCAAAAAGCAACCACUACACAGACCAGCAGAGACUUCGUGCAUGUCUGUAUGUCAGCAGUUGCCACUAGGCGUACGGGCCGGCAGCAGAUAUAACGCAUACACACUUUCACAUACAUUUAGUUAUGCAAACAUACGAACAUGUACGUGCUGACGACCAGCGUCUAGAGCGACUAUAGAGGAGAAGUGAGUGACAUACUAUAAUAAUACAUACAUAUUUACGUGUAGAGAGGCCAUCAAGGCAAGAGCAGCAGCGUCGAUAUUAGUAGUGGCAGCUGCAACAACAGCACCGGCAAAGCAAAAGUAUAGCUGACAUGGUUGUGCGAUAUAGCUGGCCUGCCUUUGGCUGCUUUUAAUAUGGCUGCCAUACGAACGAGCUAACGAACCAGCAAGCCGGUGAACUAACGAACGGCCAUACGAAUACGGCAAGCAAAUUUAUAUACAUGUACAUACAUACGUCUGUAUGUAAACGCACAUUUGUAGCGCUGCUGACUGAUUUCGAUACAUUUCAACUCAAUUCAACUCGUGGUAAAGGCGAUUGUAGAGCAAAGCACCACUGCUAAAUCGAAAUGGCGAGCUGGCUGGCUGACUGACUGAUUGGCGGUCUCGCCGAGCGUCUGACGCACCGAACAGCCCGACAAAUUGACAUUGUGACUGCUUUGACUGGCUUGUUGGCUGUACUCUACGACUGGUGUAGAUACAAGUAUGCAGGCAGGCAGGCAGUGCCAGUAAAGUAAGUAGAUUUCGCUCGAUCGUAUACAAAAACGGUUGAUUCGUGGUGUGAGAAAUGGUAGUCAUUUGAAGGGUACUAUGUGAAUUUUGCCGGGGUACUGGAUUGCAGUGGUGGGGCAAGGCGGCGGUAUGAGUUAACGAACAAAUAUGUACAUAUGUAUGUAUGUGCGCCAGCGAGCAGGCUGGUUAAUAUUAAUAACAACAACAACAAAAACGAUUGCAAAAACAACGGUUUAACAUAAAAAACAACAAGAACAACAAACAUACUAAAGUAGCAACGCAUACAGCUGUCGUAUAAUCAGCCGCCUCAGUACAGUACUGUGCUACAGCAAUGAGCUGACUGAAGCAAAGAUAGCAACAAUAAAAAACACAAGCACAUUUUGCACGAAGCUCACAACUACCUAUCUACAUAUGUAUGUACAUACAUAGCAUAUACUAUACAUAUCUACAUGUACUAUAUGGAAUCGAAUGAGACGAAGCGUUCGACGACCGCCUAUCUACCCUCACGCAGCAAAUGUCCCACAGCGUCGUGCAAAUAACGUCUGUACCGAAAACUCAGCAAGCAGCUGCCGACUCAUUGACAAAACGAACGAAUAAACACCACAUACAUGUAUGUAUGUAUAUAGUUAUGCUCACGAAUGGGUGGCGUUUUGGCUCUGCAUGAGAAAAAUAUACAUAUAUUUCUGUACGUCGUUGCUCUUGCAGUGCGUUGCUGUUGACGUUUAUCACACUGGUGGCGUGCACAUUAAGCUGAUGGCUUCGUAUGAAAAUCGGCCAUUGCACUGUGUGUCGUUCAUAUGAAAUGUUUGACAACCAAGUAAACAACCAGACAGUCGACUACCAGAUAGGUAAGUAGCCAGUUAGUCAGCUAUCGCGGGAAAAUCUCUACCAGCGCAUGCAUUCAUGUUCAUA